AGGACCAGCACUAUCCAUUGCACCACCUAGCUGCCCCAAAAGGAAAAGGGAGGAAGAUUUAUUACUCUUCACUUGCUUUUUCUCCAUGAGAAUUCCCCAAAUAUGGUAAUAAUGGGUCAUCUGGCCUAUGCUUAAAGACAUCCAGUGAGAAGGAACUCAGUAUCCCUCUACGGCAUCCCAUGCUCUUUAUUGUUAGCUACAUUUGUAAAUGUGGGAAUAAGAAAGCAUCACAGAGACCACUGGCCUCAACCUGAAUGUGAAUGAGGAUGUACUCUGCAACAUACUUGCAGACUGGUUAUCAAACCUUUGAUGGAUGGCUUCUAGCUAGCAGGAACCCACUUCCUCCUGAGUCACCAGGACAAAAGGAACCUAUGUCCCUGUUGACAAUGGAUCAGCUUGAAUCUCCUACUUCUGGAAUCUUGAUAAUCAUUUGAAAGGUUUCAAAACUCCAACAUUUCAGGUCCUGCUUCCUCGGGUAUUUCCCCCCCAUGGAUGAUCUUGGGAGAAAAUCAAUGUGAAAGUGAAACCUGCCACUUACAUAUAGCUUCCCAAGUCUGAGAUGACCACAUGAGCUAUAGGUCAAAGGCUCCACCCAACAUGAAAGCCCAGGGCAUCAAUCCUAGAGAAGAAUGUGUCAUGCUCUGGACUGUGAGCCUUAUUUCAGAAAAAACACUCUUACUGUGACUUCCCCCAAGACGCUCUAACUCUUCUUUAAACAGGAUACUUCACUGUUUGGAAGAUUCCUUCAAAGAUGGCUCAAACUGAGCCCUUUCUGUGAUCUCAUCCUGCUUUGUAGUCCACCAUAACCAAGACAUAAAACAGUAUCAGAAUGAUUUGUUGCUAUACUAGCUAGGAUCCUCUACCCACUUCUGCUGACCCAGCUACGAGUCUGGGCAGCCCCAGCCACAGGAAUGAGAAAGUCUGUUGGGCCAAGUUACUGGCCUAGAGCAGUGGGAAAAGCCUUGGAUUUGGAAUCAGAGCGUUGAGGUUGGAAUUCCAUUCUCUGCCACCUUAGGGGAAAGUCACUUAGCUUUAGGGUGUAAGGUCCCUUCCAAUUCCAAAACUAUGAUUCUAUGUUCCUAAAAUCUCUAAGGUCCUUUCUAGUUCAAAAUCUUACAAUCCCUUGGUUCCCUUCUUUAGGUAAUUCAUUACCCUCUCGCCAAGUUUCCUCAGUUUGGGAAAAGGGUCUUUAUUCCUUGCCUCCCUCUAUUCCCAGGUCCACAGUCCAUGGUAUCCCCAUCCUCACUGGAGAGAAGCAGCAUAUGGCAGAAUAUAUGAAGAUGAAGGGAUUCAUGCUCAGCCUUAGGGAGAAAGAAAGUCAGCUUCUGAGAUGCACCCCCUCCCCAACCCACCAUAGCACAGCAUCCAUGUCCUGCCUUACCAGGGUUUUGGCUACG